CAGCCGCCGCGGGAAUACGGAGGGGGCUAGCGUUGUUCGGAAUUACUGGGCGUGAAGCGCACGUAGGCGGCUUGGUAAGUUAGAGGUGAAAGCCUGGAGCUCAACUCCAGAAUUGCCUUUAAGACUGCCGAGCUAGCAGGUGAGAGAGGUAAGUGGAAUUCCGAGUGUAGAGGUGAAAUUCGUAGAUAUUCGGAAGAACACCAGUGGCGAAGGCGGCUUACUGGCUCAUACUGGACGCUGAGGUGCGAAAGCGUGGGGAGCAAACAGGAUUAGAUACCCGAGUAGUCCCUGUCUCUUAUAC
rnacentral:rRNA from 1 species